CAGCCGCCGCGGUAAUACGAAGGGGGCUAGCGUUGCUCGGAAUGACUGGGCGUAAAGGGCGCGUAGGCGGCGGCCAAAGUCAGGCGUGAAAUUCCCGGGCUCAACCUGGGGGCUGCGCUUGAUACUUGGUUGCUUGAGUGGGGAAGAGGGUCGUGGAAUUCCCAGUGUAGAGGUGAAAUUCGUAGAUAUUGGGAAGAACACCGGUGGCGAAGGCGGCGACCUGGUCCUUUACUGACGCAGAGGCGCGAAAGCGUGGGGAGCAAACAGGAUUAGAUACCCCUGUAGUCCCUGUCUCUUAUAC
rnacentral:rRNA from 1 species